rnacentral:rRNA from 1 species
UGAAGGUUUUCGGAUCGUAAAGCUCUGUUGUUAGGGAAGAACAAGUACCGUUCGAAUAGGGCGGUACCUUGACGGUACCUAACCAGAAAGCCACGGCUAACUACGUGCCAGCAGCCGCGGUAAUACGUAGGUGGCAAGCGUUGUCCGGAAUUAUUGGGCGUAAAGGGCUCGCAGGCGGUUUCUUAAGUCUGAUGUGAAAGCCCCCGGCUCAACCGGGGAGGGUCAUUGGAAACUGGGGAACUUGAGUGCAGAAGAGGAGAGUGGAAUUCCACGUGUAGCGGUGAAAUGCGUAGAGAUGUGGAGGAACACCAGUGGCGAAGGCGACUCUCUGGUCUGUAACUGACGCUGAGGAGCGAAAGCGUGGGGAGCGAACAGGAUUAGAUACCCUGGUAGUCCACGCCGUAAACGAUGAGUGCUAAGUGUUAGGGGGUUUCCGCCCCUUAGUGCUGCAGCUAACGCAUUAAGCACUCCGCCUGGGGAGUACGGUCGCAAGACUGAAACUCAAAGGAAUUGACGGGGGCCCGCACAAGCGGUGGAGCAUGUGGUUUAAUUCGAAGCAACGCGAAGAACCUUACCAGGUCUUGACAUCCUCUGACAAUCCUAGAGAUAGGACGUCCCCUUCGGGGGCAGAGUGACAGGUGGUGCAUGGUUGUCGUCAGCUCGUGUCGUGAGAUG